AUAUUUAGUGGAUUAUAAUACCUAAUUAUGAAAAACUUUUGAUUUUUGUGUGGUCUGGUACCCCUACCACAGUGGGAUAGAAAUCUUGAGCUUCCCUGGCCCCUUUCGCUUGGAGGUGCUGUGCUAGUAGUCACAAACACGAAACACAUCAACAAGUCACGUUCGUAAGAGUUCGUUGCGCAUGAUUCAUUUUCCGUCAUUUUGUUUAUGAUUUUGUCCUGUUUUGUUUUUUUUUUAAAAUAGAGGUAAUUUUAUGACCAGUGAUAUGGCUAAGACAGAUAGACUAUUAUUGAAAUGGAACAACAUACAAUAAUAUGUAGAACAUGUUGUGUUGGUGGUUGUACCUUCUCCACAUCGAUUACGUUUUCCAGAGAUGAAAUGGACAUGUUCUUGGAAGGGUUGAAACUUAUUCAAAGCAUUUUAAAGAAGAUUUUAAGAUACAUGAGAGUUCGAACAAGAGGAAUUACCAAAGGGGCCAUCCCAAGCUCAUUUUUACCACCACUAGGUAAGAACCACAUAGGACAAAUAAUUCAAUUUUAAUAGAGCUAAAAGUUAGCCAACACCUAUCGAGUAAAGUACAUAUCCAACAAUUAAAAUGCUUUGGAUCAAUCAAAUUACAGGAAUAUGCAAAAGACCUAUGCAUGAGUUAAAAGAAAUGACCAGAGUCAGAUAUCUUUUUAGACAGACAAUAUAUGACAUCACGUCGACCACUACACUCCCUCCUGGGGGUCAGGAUUGAAGAGAGAGAUUAUCAGGAUGAAAAGGCUACUGAAGAAUCUCAAUUUAUUGACAUGCAUGUAGGUCAGAGUCAAUAGAUGCCUAGGCUCAAAAUGGGACCCAUUUCCAUUGAGUAUAACGUGGAUCCCUGCACAAGGAUAUACGUGAAGACCAGAAUGGUAGCAGUCACGUAUAAAAUAUAUCUAUGAUAUGAUACUUCUGUAAUUCCAUACAAAUUUUGAUUGCUCAAGUAAUUUUAUAAAGUAUUUUACAGAAAUAAAUAACUUUUUAAGAA
rnacentral:misc_RNA from 1 species